rnacentral:tRNA from 1 species
CUUAUCUUAGUUUAAUUUAGAAUGUGGGUUUUGGGGAUCUUUGGUCUCUGUUGUAGAGAGGU